rnacentral:rRNA from 1 species
UACGUAGGGUGCAAGCGUUGUCCGGAAUUAUUGGGCGUAAAGAGCUCGUAGGCGGCUUGUCGCGUCGGCUGUGAAAACCUGGGGCUCAACCCCGGGCCUGCAUUCGAUACGGGCAGACUAGAGUUCGGUAGGGGAGUCUGGAAUUCCUGGUGUAGCGGUGAAAUGCGCAGAUAUCAGGAGGAACACCGGUGGCGAAGGCAAUCCCCUGGGCCUGAACUGACGCUCAUGCACGAAAGCGUGGGGAGCAAACAGG